rnacentral:rRNA from 1 species
AUUGAACGCUGGCGGCAGGCUUAACACAUGCAAGUCGAGCGGAGUGAUGGUGCUUGCACUAUCACUUAGCGGCGGACGGGUGAGUAAUGCUUAGGAAUCUGCCUAUUAGUGGGGGACAACAUCUCGAAAGGGAUGCUAAUACCGCAUACGUCCUACGGGAGAAAGCAGGGGAUCACUUGUGACCUUGCGCUAAUAGAUGAGCCUAAGUGGGAUUAGCUAGUUGGUGGGGUAAAGGCCUACCAAGGCGACGAUCUGUAGCGGGUAUGAGAGGAUGAUCCGGCACACUGGGACUGAGACACGGCCCAGACUCCUACGGGAGGCAGCAGUGGGGAAUAUUGGACAAUGGGGGGAACCCUGAUCCAGCCAUGCCGCGUGUGUGAAGAAGGCCUUAUGGUUGUAAAGCACUUUAAGCGAGGAGGAGGCUCUUUUGGUUAAUACCCAAGAUGAGUGGACGUUACUCGCAGAAUAAGCACCGGCUAACUCUGUGCCAGCCGCCGCCGCAG